rnacentral:rRNA from 1 species
AUACGGAGGGUGCAAGCGUUAUCCGGAAUCACUGGGUUUAAAGGGUGCGUAGGCGGCUUAGUAAGUCAGUGGUGAAAGGCUGUGGCUUAACCAUGGAAUUGCCAUUGAUACUGCAGAGCUUGAAUGAGGUUGAGGUUGGCGGAAUGUGACAUGUAGCGGUGAAAUGCUUAGAUAUGUCAUGGAACACCGAUUGCGAAGGCAGCUGACUGGACCUAUAUUGACGCUGAGGCACGAACGCGUGGGGAGCGAACAGGAUUAGAUACCCUGGUAGUCCACGCCCUAAACGAUGCUUACUCGUUGUUUGACUGAAAAGUUGAGUGACUAAGAGAAAUCGAUAAGUAAGCCACCUGGGGAGUACGACCGCAAGGUUGAA